rnacentral:tRNA from 1 species
GGUCCCAUCGUCUAGUGGUUAGGACAGGAGACUUUCAAUCUUCUAACUAGGGUCCGAUUCCCUAUGGGACCGCCA